GAUGAACGCUGGCGGCGUGCUUAACACAUGCAAGUCGAACGGUGAAGCAGAGCUUGCUCUGUGGAUCAGUGGCGAACGGGUGAGUAACACGUGAGCAACCUGCCCUGGACUCUGGGAUAAGCGCUGGAAACGGCGUCUAAUACUGGAUACGAGACGUGGCCGCAUGGUCAACGUUCGGAAAGAUUUUUUGGUUCAGGAUGGGCUCGCGGCCUAUCAGCUUGGUGGUGAGGUAAUGGCUCACCAAGGCGUCGACGGGUAGCCGGCCUGAGAGGGUGACCGGCCACACUGGGACUGAGACACGGCCCAGACUCCUACGGGAGGCAGCAGUGGGGAAUAUUGCACAAUGGGCGAAAGCCUGAUGCAGCAACGCCGCGUGAGGGAUGACGGCCUUCGGGUUGUAAACCUCUUUUAGCAAGGAAGAAGCGAAAGUGACGGUACUUGCAGAAAAAGCGCCGGCUAACUACGUGCCAGCCGCCGCCGUAACAC
rnacentral:rRNA from 1 species